rnacentral:rRNA from 1 species
GUCGUCAGUUCGUACUGUGAAGCAUCCUCGUUAAGUACAGGCGACGAGCGAGACCCACGUCCACAGUUGCCAGCAUACCCUCCGGGGUGAUGGGUACACUGUGGAGACCGCCGCUGCUAAAGCGGAGGAAGGAGUGGGCAACGGUAGGUCAGUAUGCCCCGAAUCUCCCGGGCUACACGCGGGCUACAAUGGUUGGUACAAUGGGCAUCUACCCCGAAAGGGGAAGGAAAUCUCUUAAAGCCAAUCGUAGUUCGGAUUGAGGGCUGCAACUCGCCCUCAUGAAGCUGGAAUCCGUAGUAAUCGCGUUUCAACAGAACGCGGUGAAUACGUCCCUGCUCCUU